rnacentral:tRNA from 1 species
GCCGGUGUAGCUCAGUUGGUAGAGCGCCUCACUUGUAAUGAGGAUGUCGCGGGUUCAAAUCCUGUCUCCGGCUCCA